rnacentral:rRNA from 1 species
AUGGGCCCCGUCGCUCUCGUGCUGCUUCUAGCCUGGUGCUGCGCUGCGACCACCGUGCGAGCGACGGAGUGGAUCGUCGGCGGCGACAAGGGGUGGACCUUCGGCGUCGCCGGCUGGGAGAACGACAAGCCGAUCCAGCCCGGCGACAAGCUCGUGUUCAAGUACGAGCCUGGAGCGCACAACGUGGUGAAGGUGGAGGUGGGCGGGUACAUGGAGUGCAAGGCCCCCGACGGCGCCAAGGUUCACUCCUCCGGCAACGAUACCUUCGAGAUGCCCGGCGGCAAGGCCUACUUCAUCUGCACCUUCCCCGGUCACUGCGAGAAGGGCAUGAGGAUCGGCAUCCCCCCUAGAUAG